ACUCAAAGGAAUAGACGGGGGCCCGCACAAGCGGCGGAGCAUGCGGAUUAAUUCGAUGCAACGCGAAGAACCUUACCUGGGCUUGACAUGUUUCUGACGACGCUAGAGAUAGCGUUUCCCUUCGGGGCAGAUUCACAGGUGGUGCAUGGUUGUCGUCAGCUCGUGUUGUGAAAUGUUGGGUUAAGUCCCGCAACGAGCGCAACCCUCGUCUCGUGUUGCCAGCGGUUCGGCCGGGAACUCACGAGAGACCGCCGGGGUUAACCCGGAGGAAGGCGGGGAUGACGUCAAAUCAUCAUGCCCCUUACGUCCAGGGCUUCACGCAUGCUACAAUGGCCGGUACAGAAAGAUGCAAUAUCGUGAGAUGGAGCGGAUCUUUUAAAACUGGUCUCAGUUCGGAUCGGAGCCUGCAACUCGGCUCCGUGAAGGUGGAGUCGCUAGUAAUCGCUGAUCAGCAACGCAGCGGUGAAUGCGUUCCCGGGCCUUGCACACACCGCCCGU
rnacentral:rRNA from 1 species